CACACACACACACACACACACACAUCUCUCCAUUCUGGUUGUUUUCUAACGUUCGAUCCAACUUGGUAUUUUAUUAGCAGCUGAUACUCCUGGGGUCCACAUGAAGCAGGACAGAACAUUCCUUUGACAAGAACGGCUCAAAGACAAAACUACUAACAUUUUAAAAUAAGGACAAUAUAACUAGGAGGUUCUGUACUGACUAAAUACUGAGAAAAAACCCAUAGAGACCUAAUAUUCUAGGACUGUGUUUAUCGUGUACUAAUUAAUAUUCUAGUACUAUGUUUAUCGUGUACUAAUUAAUAUUCUAGGACUACGUUUAUCGUGUACUAAUUAAUAUUCUAGUACUAUGUUUAUCGUGUACUAAUUAAUAUUCUAGGACUACGUUUAUCGUGUACUAAUUAAUAUUCUAGUACUAUGUUUAUUGUGUACUAAUUAAUAUUCUAGUACUAUGUUUAUUGUGUACUAAUUAAUAUUCUAGGACUACGUUUAUUGUGUACUAAUUAAUAUUCUAGUACUAUGUUUAUUGUGUACUAAUUAAUAUUCUAGGACUACGUUUAUUGUGUACUAAUUCAUAUUCUAGUACUAUGUUUAUUGUGUACUAAUUAAUAGUCUGAGAAGUAGCUGGUGAAACAAGCGAGGCAGUCAUUUGAGAAACCAAGGCUGUUAAGUCUGCCGAUAAGAAUGACAGACAUACCGCUCAGGAAGGAGAUGCGUCCAGAUUGUCUAGCCCGGCUGAUUUGUAGGGGUCCAGGUUGUCUAGUCCAGCUGAUUUGUAGGGGUCCAGGUUGUCUAGUCCAGCUGAUUUGUAGGGGUCCAGGUUGUCUAGUCCAGCUGAUUUGUAGGGGUCCAGGUUGUCUAGUCCAGCUGAUUUGUAGGGGUCCAGGUUGUCUAGUCCAGCUGAUUUGUAGGGGUCCAGAUUUCGCGGCUCUUUCAGAACAUCAGCUGUCUGGAUUUGGGAGAAGGAGAAAUGGGGGAGGCUUGGCAAGUUGCUGUGGGGGGCGCAGGGCUGUUGACCGGGGUAGGGGUAGGGGUAGCCAGGUGGAAAGCAUGGCUAGCCGUAGAAAAAUUCUUAUUGAAAUUCUCAAUUAUAGUGCAUUUAUCGGUGGUGACAGUGUUUCCUAUCCUCAGAGCAGUGGGCAGCUGGGAGGAGGUGCUCUUAUUCUCCAUGGACUUUACAGUGUCGGCCAGGAAUGGCAAAUAGUUUCUACCCCCAGACAAUCAGGCUGCUGAAUAGACACCACUAGUCAGCUGUUUGUACCAUCAGACCAUCAGGCUGCUGAAUAGACACCACUAGUCAGCUGUUUCUACCAUCAGACCAUCAGGCUGCUGAAUAGACACCACUAGUCAGCUGUUUCUACCAUCAGGCUGCUGAAUAGACACCACUAGUCAGCUGUUUCUACC
rnacentral:lncRNA from 1 species